rnacentral:rRNA from 1 species
UACGAGGGGGGCGAGCGUUGUUCGGAAUUAUUGGGCGUAAAGGGUGCGUAGGCGGUUUGGUAAGUCUUAUGUGAAAUCUAUGGGCUCAACUCAUAGACUGCAUGAGAAACUGCCGGGCUUGAGUAUGGGAGAGGUGAGUGGAAUUCCUGGUGUAGCGGUGAAAUGCGCAGAUAUCAGGAGGAACACCAUGGCGAAAGGCAGCUCGCUG